AGAGUUUGAUCCUGGCUCAGAUUGAACGCUGGCGGCAUGCCUUACACAUGCAAGUCGAACGGCAGCACAGGUGCUUGCACCUGGUGGCGAGUGGCGAACGGGUGAGUAAUAUAUCGGAACGUACCCAGUAGUGGGGGAUAACUAUCCGAAAGGAUAGCUAAUACCGCAUACGAUCUACGGAUGAAAGCAGGGGAUCUUCGGACCUUGUGCUAUUGGAGCGGCCGAUAUCUGAUUAGCUAGUUGGUGAGGUAAAAGCUCACCAAGGCGACGAUCAGUAGCUGGUCUGAGAGGACGACCAGCCACACUGGAACUGAGACACGGUCCAGACUCCUACGGGAGGCAGCAGUGGGGAAUUUUGGACAAUGGGCGCAAGCCUGAUCCAGCAAUGCCGCGUGAGUGAAGAAGGCCUUCGGGUUGUAAAGCUCUUUUGUCAGGGAAGAAAAGGUGCGCUCUAACAUAGCGUACUGAUGACGGUACCUGAAGAAUAAGCACCGGCUAACUACGUGCCAGCAGCCGCGGUAAUACGUAGGGUGCAAGCGUUAAUCGGAAUUACUGGGCGUAAAGCGUGCGCAGGCGGUUUUAUAAGUCUGAUGUGAAAUCCCCGGGCUCAACCUGGGAACUGCAUUGGAGACUGUAAGGCUAGAGUGUGUCAGAGGGGGGUAGAAUUCCACGUGUAGCAGUGAAAUGCGUAGAUAUGUGGAGGAAUACCGAUGGCGAAGGCAGCCCCCUGGGAUAACACUGACGCUCAUGCACGAAAGCGUGGGGAGCAAACAGGAUUAGAUACCCUGGUAGUCCACGCCCUAAACGAUGUCUACUAGUUGUCGGGACUUAAUUGUCUUGGUAACGCAGCUAACGCGUGAAGUAGACCGCCUGGGGAGUACGGUCGCAAGA
rnacentral:rRNA from 1 species